rnacentral:rRNA from 1 species
AAUUUUGGACAAUGGGGAAAAUCUGAUCCACCCAUCCCGUGUGUAUGAUGUAGGCCUUCCGGUUGUUAAAUUCCUUUGGCUGGACAGAAAUGGUCCCCCCUUAAACGAGGCACUGAUGACGGUUUCCGCAGAAUUAGCUCCUGCUAAACACGUGCCAGCAGCCGCGGUAAUACGUAGGGUGCAAGCGUUAAUCGGAAUUACUGGGCGUAAAGCGUGUGUAGGCGGUUCGGAAAGAAAGAUGUGAAAUCCCAGGGCUCAACCUUGGAACUGCAUUUUUAACUGCCGAGCUAGAGUAUGUCAGAGGGGGGUAGAAUUCCACGUGUAGCAGUGAAAUGCGUAGAUAUGUGGAGGAAUACCGAUGGCGAAGACAGCCCCCUGGGAUAAUACUGACGCUCAGACACGAAAGCGUGGGGAGCAAACA